rnacentral:rRNA from 1 species
UACGUAGGGGGCAAGCGUUGUCCGGAUUUAUUGGGCGUAAAAGGCUUGUAGGUGGCCACGCCAAGUCGGAUGUGAAAUCUCCCGGCUCAACUGGGAGGGGUCAUUCGAUACUGGCGGGCUCGAGGCCGGUAGGGGGAAGUGGAAUUCCCGGUGUAGUGGUGGAAUGCGUAGAGAUCAUGAGGAAGACCAGUGGCGAAGGCGGGUCUCUGGACAGUUCCUGACGCUGAGGCACGAAGGUCAGGGGAGCAAACGGG